UUAACUCAAAUUUGUUUCGAGUGGGAACGUUUGCCGCUAGGGGUGCUGUUCCAACUCCAUACAAAUUUGAGUUA
rnacentral:pre_miRNA from 1 species